rnacentral:rRNA from 1 species
AGAGCGAACGCUGGCGGCAGGCCUAACACAUGCAAGUCGAGCGGCCGUAGCAAUACGGCAGCGGCAGACGGGAGAGUAACACGUGGGAACGCGCCCUUCGGUUCGGAAUAACUCAGGGAAACUUGGGCUAAUACCGGAUACGCCCUUACGGGGAAAGAUUUAUUGCCGAAGGAACGGCCCGCGUCCGAUUAGCUUGUUGGUGAGGUAACGGCUCACCAAGGCGACGAUCGGUAGCUGGUCUGAGAGGAUGACCAGCCUCACUGGGACUGAGACACGGCCCAGACUCCUACGGGAGGCAGCAGUGGGGAAUAUUGGACAAUGGGCGCAAGCCUGAUCCAGCCAUGCCGCGUGGGUGAUGAAGGCCCUAGGGUUGUAAAGCUCUUUUGUGCGGGAAGAUAAUGACGGUACCGCAAGAAUAAGCCCCGGCUAACUUCGCGCCAGCAGCCGC